AUUGAACGCUGGCGGCAGGCUUAACACAUGCAAGUCGAGCGGGGUGAUGGUGCUUGCACUAUCACUUAGCGGCGGACGGGUGAGUAAUGCUUAGGAAUCUGCCUAUUAGUGGGGGACAACAUCUCGAAAGGGAUGCUAAUACCGCAUACGCCCUACGGGAGAAAGCAGGGGAUCACUUGUGACCUUGCGCUAAUAGAUGAGCCUAAGUCGGAUUAGCUAGUUGGUGGGAUAAAGGCCUACCAAGGCGACGAUCUGUAGCGGGUCUGAGAGGAUGAUCCGCCACACUGGGCCUGAGACACGGCCCAGAGUCCUACGGGAGGCAGCAGUAGGGAAUAUUGGACAAUGGGGGGAACCCUGGUCCAGCCAUGCCGCGUGUGUGAAGAAGGCCUUAUGGUUGUAAAGCACUUUAAGCGAGGAGGAGGCUCUUUUGGUCAAUACCCAAGAUGAGUGGACGUUACUCGCAGAAUAAGCACCGGCUAACUCUGUGCCAGCCGCCGCCGUAA
rnacentral:rRNA from 1 species